GUGGGGAAUAUUGGACAAUGGGCGCAAGCCUGAUCCAGCCAUGCCGCGUGAGUGAUGAAGGCCUUAGGGUUGUAAAGCUCUUUUGUCCGGGAAGAUAAUGACUGUACCGGAAGAAUAAGCCCCGGCUAACUUCGUGCCAGCAGCCGCGGUAAUACGAAGGGGGCUAGCGUUGUUCGGAAUCACUGGGCGUAAAGCGCACGUAGGCGGACCAUUAAGUCAGGGGUGAAAGCCUGGAGCUCAACUCCAGAGCGGCCUGUGAUACUGAUGGUCUCGAGUAUGGAAGAGGUUGGUGGAACUGCGAGUGUAGAGGUGAAAUUCGUAGAUAUUCGCAAGAACACCGGUGGCGAAGGCGGCCAACUGGUCCAUUACUGACGCUGAGGUGCGAAAGCGUGGGGAGCAAACAGGAUUAGAUAACCCAGUAGUCC
rnacentral:rRNA from 1 species